CUCUAAAAAAUAACUGCUGUGAUGCAGUUCAGGGCGGUUGUUUACAGUUUCCAGCAGCUCCCUGUUUUUCUACCCACGUCUGGUAACCUCCAAAUGCCCUUCCUGUCUCCUUUUUUUCCUCCUCACGUCGUUGCAGCCUUCAUAUACCAUUCCUCUUGUACACAUCUGAUAUAUAUUCAGACAAAUAACAUAGCUUUCAUCAAUUCUAUCUCAAACCUUCAUUCAAUCACAACCAGUUGCAGAUGUUUUACACCCCCACUUUCGUGCUCUUUCUUUAAGUUGAUCGUCAAUCGCUUACGGAAAUCCAUAUCGGCUUCGUAAGACCAACAGCUUGUGAGUUUAAUUGCUCUUUUAAUCGAAGGUUCGUCAUUAGAAGAAAGAUUUGAUGGUUUCUUGAGAUCUAGGAUGCGGAAUUUAGCUACAGAAUUUGUCAAUCAGAAAAUGUUGUUUUGUUUCAGUUGGGAUCGUUCACUGGAUGUGGGUUUCGGGGAGAAGGAAGGAUUGAACCAGGGGUUCAUGUGAUGCUUAAAGAGGGGAAUACGGUCAAGAUUAGUGGUUAAAGUAGGGUUAAUAAGCUGCAUUGGGUCCCACUUGAUCAAGCGUAUGAUGUCGAUGAACAAUUUGUGUUAGCUAUUUAUCCAAUCAAAGGAGGAGGAGAAGAAGAAUUGAAUCAGGAGUUUACAUGAAGAAUACCCGUCCCAUGUUUUCAACUUUUCAAAACCACCAAGGAACGUUGUUGCAUGUUGUUAGUGAUCCUUGCUCAUGUUGGUGUAGUACAUAAAAAUUGUAGUUUCCACAACAUUAGCAGCAAACGAUUGCUCAGCAGCUUAGGCAAUCUCCAAUGACUGGAUCAGGGGAGCAAUUCUCACAGCUGCAUGGUCAAGCUCAAAAUAAGUAUCAGAUUUGGUCUUCAACGCGUAAACAUCAAGUGUCCAUUUUGUAGAUAGUUGGAGCGUUUUGGGUAUUUACCAUCCAUCGAGCGUAAUGAUACAUGUUAGCUUGUAAAAUUAGCGAUCACGACACAAUUCUACUGUGGAAAUACAUGCAUGGCAGGUUAUGAUGACUGGAGCAAUGUUGAUAGCUUGGUUUUGAGCGAAAAUUGCAGGCCAGAUAUAACUUUUCUAUAAACAAGAACCUUCAGCAUAUGAUUCCCACUAGGCUGUAGUUUAUAAGGGAAAAGAUGCAUGUGGUCACACCAACUAUAGAGGUAACAAACAGACACCAUGUUUGUACCGGAAUGAUCCUUUGUUUCCUUACUUUUUGCAUAACAUGGAUUUGGAGUGCAUUUAGAAAUUUGAGCCAAAUUUGUUUUUCUUUAUGAAAAGAAAAUCUAGGAAACUGCUUGCAAGUUGUAACAUUGCUUUGAUAUAUACAUAUAUAUUGUGCUUUUCAUGGAUU